GAAACAAGAAAUUAGAAAUUCAAAUUAGACUCCUCAGAGUAAAUAAAACAGUAUUUCUGAAAUAGAUCUGUCACAUCAGGCCUAGAGCCACGACUGAUCACUUGAUACUGUCCUCUCUAAUAAAGUUUGGCCUGGGAAAUUCUUAAAACUAACCAAAUCCCAGAGCCAUGUACCCCCUAGAACUACUUUCAAGCACAACUGAAGAGAGUGCACAUAAAAACUUUUUGUUUUUUUAUUUGUGUUUCAUAUGAUUUUCAGCAGUGAAGUCUAUGUGUCCGCUCAUGUCUUGGAAAAAGAGGAAAGCACCUGAGAAGUACAACGCAUGCUAAUAAACCAGUGGGAAAUAUCAAAUUCUAAUAACAAAGUUUCGGAAGGGUGAGUGGAUAUUUCUUCCUGUUCUGACAACGCCCUACGCAUCCCAGAGAGCUGAGACGCACGUAUGCUAAGAGGUAAAACAGUUGCACGUGCACUGACUAUAAAGAGAAUUUUCACAGCAUCUCUCCUUCAUGAUACCAUCUUGCUGUUGAAGAUGCUCAGAAAUUACAUAUUAUAUUAUAAAAAGUGGUAACAAGAAUCACAUUUUCAUUGUGACUUCAGUUGUAGAUUGCCAUUGCUAUGCUCUGCUAAGUGCAAUUUGUAUUUGUAUUGUGAUUUAGGUAGACUCCUGUAUCACUCUGCUAAAUAAAAAUCCUAUGUAACAUCAAGUAACUUCAAAUAAGUAAAUCUAGGAUUAAACAUUAAGCUCUCCACAUGUGGAAUAUCUAAAAGAGCCUGGUCAGAGAGUACUGGACUUUGACAAGUAAACAAAAAUCAGCUUAAAAAUUAACACAUGCCUUCUAUUUACUGCAAGCUUCAAAAUAUUAAAUCGAAUAUACUUUU